CUGCAGGAGAAGGUGGGGACACCUUGGGGACACCCUGGUUGGAUUUUGGAAGUUUUGGGACACCCUGGUUGGAUUUGGUGACUUUGGGGACAUCCUGGUUGGAUUUGGGGACAUCCUGGUUGGAUUUUGGAGGUUUUGGGACAUCCUGGUUGGAUUUGGGGACAUCUUGGGUUGGGUUUUGUGACUUUGGGGACACCCUGGUUGGGUGUCAGAGGUUUGGGGAUGCCCUGGUUAGAUGUGGGGAAAACUUGGCUGGAUUUUGAAGGUUUUGAGACAUCCUGGUGGGAUUUUUGGGGACAUCCUGGUUGGAUUUGGGGACAUCCUGGUUGGAUUUGGGAACACCCUGGUUGGAUUUUGGAAGUUUUGGUACACCCUGGUUGGAUUUGGUGACUUUGGGGACAUCCUGGGUUGGACUUUCAGAGGUCUGGGGACACCCUGGUUGAAUUUUGGGGACACCCUGGUUGGAUUUUGGAAGUUUUGGGGACAUCCUGGUUGAAUUUGGGGACAUCUUGUGUUGGAUUUUGGAAGUUUUGGGGACAGCCUGGUUGGAUUUGGGGACAUCUUGGGUUGGGUUUUGUGACUUUGGGGACAUCCUGGUUGGACUUCAGAGGUUUGGGGACACCCUGGCUGGAUGUGGGGGAAACCUUGGUUGGAUUUUGGAGGUUUUGAGACACCCUGGUGGGAUUUUUGGGGACAUCCUUGUUAGAUUUUUGGGGACAUCCUGGUUGGGUGUUGGAGGUUUUGGGACACCCUGGUUGGAUUUGGUGACUUUGGGGACAUCCUGGGUUGGACUUUCAGAGGUCUGGGGACACCCUGGUUGGAUUUUGGAAGUUUUGGGGACACCCUGGUUGGAUGUGGGGAAACCUUGGCUGGAUUUUGGAGGUUUUGGGACAUCCUGGUGGGAUUUGGGGACAUCCUUGUUAGAUUUUUGGGGACAUCCUGGUUGGGUGUCGGAGGUCUGGGUACACCCUGGUUGGAUCUGUGACCAUCGUGGUGUCCCCUGUGUGUCCCCAGGAGGAGCAGAAGACCAUGAAGUCCAAGAUGAGGGAGAAGGUGCGGCCCA
rnacentral:lncRNA from 1 species